rnacentral:lncRNA from 1 species
GUUUUUUUCCUCUGCGGGAUUUAACUCCCGUCUUUUUUCUCGGUGUUAUCGGAUUUAUUUACCUCUUGGGUAUGUGAAGAUGGUCAUCAGCCUUGCCUUCCCCAUCCAACCAAAGAUUUUCCUCAGUGCAACCUUGCCACCCAAUAUCUUUUCUUAGGGUCGCCGGAAGGGAAACCCUAAUCAUUCUAGUUACAAAGGAACCCCAAUCUCCUUUGAUCUGUUGACUCCCAAACUUUUCUCAGUGACCAUUAUUCAU